rnacentral:rRNA from 1 species
UACGUAGGGCGCAAGCGUUGUCCGGAAUUAUUGGGCGUAAAGAGCUCGUAGGCGGUUUGUCGCGUCUGCUGUGAAAACUGGAGGCUCAACCUCCAGCCUGCAGUGGGUACGGGCAGACUAGAGUGCGGUAGGGGGAGAUUGGAAUUCCUGGUGUAGCGGUGGAAUGCGCAGAUAUCAGGAGGAACACCGGUGGCGAAGGCGGAUCUCUGGGCCUUACCUGACGCUGAGGUGCGAAAGCUAGGGGAGCGAACAGG